rnacentral:misc_RNA from 1 species
UACAUAGGGUCCGGGCGUUGUCCGGAAUUAUUGGGCGUAAAGAGCUCGUAGGCGGUUUGUCGCGUCUGCUGUGAAAACGCAAGGCCUAACCUUGCGCCUGCAGUGGGUACGGGCAGACUAGAGUGCGGUAGGGGAGACUGGAAUUCCUGGUGUAGCGGUGGAAUGCGCAGAUAUCAGGAGGAACACCGAUGGCGAAGGCAGGUCUCUGGGCCGUUACUGACGCUGAGGAGCGAAAGCAUGGGGAGCGAACAGG